CCUACGGGAGGCAGCAGUGAGGAAUAUUGGGCAAUGGGCGCAACUCUGACCCAGCAAUGCCGCGUGAGUGAUGACGGUAAUUUUAUUGUAAAGCUCUUUUCUUUGGAACUAAUAAAUGACGAUACCAAAGGAAUAAGCCCCGGCUAACUACGUGCCAUCGGCCGCGGUCAUACGUAGGGGGGAAGCGUUGUUCGGAAUGACUGGGCUGAAAGGGUGUGUAGGGGGUUUGAUAAGUUAGAUGUGUAAUACCCAGGGCUUAACUCGGGUGCUGCAUCGAAAACUGGUAGACUUGAGUACUGGAGAGGAUAGCGGAAUUCCUAGUGUAGCGGUGGAAUGCGUAGAUAUUAGGAGGAACAUCAGUGGCGAAGGCGACUAUCUGGACAGCAACUGACACUGAGGCACGAAAGCGUGGGGAGCAAACAGGAUUAGAUACCCGUGUAGUC
rnacentral:rRNA from 1 species